rnacentral:rRNA from 1 species
CAUGAAGCCGGAAUCGCUAGUAAUCGUGGAUCAGCAUGUCACGGUGAAUACGUUCCCGGGUCUUGUACACACCGCCCGUCACACCAUGGGAGUGGGUUCCACCAGAAGUAGUUAGCCUAACCGCAAGGAGGGCGACUACCACGGUGAGAUUCAUGACUGGGGUG